UUUUUACGGGAGGCAGCAGUGGGGAAUUUUGGACAAUGGGCGCAAGCCUGAUCCAGCCAUGCCGCGUGUCUGAAGAAGGCCUUCGGGUUGUAAAGGACUUUUGUCAGGGAAGAAAAGGACAGGGUUAAUACCCCUGUCUGAUGACGGUACCUGAAGAAUAAGCACCGGCUAACUACGUGCCAGCAGCCGCGGUAAUAAAA
rnacentral:rRNA from 1 species